GCCAGGUGUGGUGGCUCACGCCUGUAAUCCCAGCACUUGGGAGGCUGAGGCAGGAGGAUCGUUGCGAGUUGGAGACCAGCCUGGGCUACAAAGUGAGUUCAAGGCCAGCCUGAACUGCAUAGAGACCCUGUUUCAAAAAGACAAAAAAAGGUGGGGGGUCUCACUCUAUAGUUCAAGCUGGCCUUGAACUCACUAUGUAGCCCAGGCUGGCCUCGAACUCCAGAUGAUCCUCCUGCCUCAA
rnacentral:SRP_RNA from 1 species